UUAAGUGACUAAGCGUACAUGGUGGAUGCCUUGGCAGUCAGAGGCGAUGAAGGACGUACUAACCUGCGAUAAGCUGUGAGGAGUCGGUAAGAGACGCUAUUACUCACAGAUUUCCGAAUGGGGAAACCCACCCGAGAUAACUCGGGUAUCUGUUACUGAAUACAUAGGUAACAGAGGCGAACCGGGAGAACUGAAACAUCUAAGUACCCCGAGGAAAAGAAAUCAACCGAGAUUCCCUCAGUAGCGGCGAGCGAACGGGGAUUAGCCCUUAAGCAUCUUGGAAGUUAGUGGAACGGUCCUGGAAAGGCCGGCGAUACAGGGUGAUAGCCCCGUACACGAAAACGACCUUGAUGUGAAAUCGAGUAGGGCGGGACACGUGACAUCCUGUCUGAAUAUGGGGGGACCAUCCUCCAAGGCUAAAUACUCCUGACUGACCGAUAGUGAACCAGUACCGUGAGGGAAAGGCGAAAAGAACCCCUGUGAGGGGAGUGAAAUAGAACCUGAAACCGUGUACGUACAAGCAGUGGGAGCCCUUCGGGGUGACUGCGUACCUUUUGUAUAAUGGGUCAGCGACUUACAUUUUGUAGCGAGGUUAACCGUAUAGGGGAGCCGUAGGGAAACCGAGUCUUAACUGGGCGUCUAGUUGCAAGGUGUAGACCCGAAACCGGGUGAUCUAGCCAUGGGCAGGUUGAAGGUUGAGUAACAUCAACUGGAGGACCGAACCCACUAACGUUGCAAAGUUAGGGGAUGACCUGUGGCUGGGGGUGAAAGGCCAAUCAAACUCGGAGAUAGCUGGUUCUCCCCGAAAGCUAUUUAGGUAGCGCCUCGGACGAAUACUACUGGGGGUAGAGCACUGUUUGGGCUAGGGGGUCAUCCCGACUUACCAACCCCAUGCAAACUCCGAAUACCAGUAAGUAAUAUCCGGGAGACACGCGGCGGGUGCUAACGUCCGUCGUGAAGAGGGAAACAACCCAGACCGCCGGCUAAGGUCCCAAAGUUCUGGUUAAGUGGGAAACGAUGUGGGAAGGCUCAGACAGCUAGGAUGUUGGCUUAGAAGCAGCCAUCAUUUAAAGAAAGCGUAAUAGCUCACUAGUCGAGUCGGCCUGCGCGGAAGAUGUAACGGGGCUCAAACCAGGCACCGAAGCCGCGGAUUCACACUUAUGUGUGAGUGGUAGGGGAGCGUUCUGUAAGUCUGCGAAGGUGUAUCGAGAGGUAUGCUGGAGAUAUCAGAAGUGCGAAUGCUGACGUAAGUAACGAUAAAGGGGGUGAAAAGCCUCCUCGCCGGAAGACCAAGGGUUCCUGUCCAACGUUAAUCGGGGCAGGGUGAGUCGACCCCUAAGGCGAGGCCGAAAGGCGUAGUCGAUGGGAAGCAGGUUAAUAUUCCUGCACGACUUGUAAUUGCGAUGGGGGGACGGAGAAGGCUAGGUGGGCCAGGCGACGGUUGUCCUGGUGAAAGUGCGUAGGUGGUGUUUCUAGGCAAAUCCGGAGACACAACACUGAGACACGAGACGAACACACUACGGUGUGGAAGCCAUUGAUGCCCUGCUUCCAGGAAAAGCCUCUAAGCUUCAGAUUACAAGUCAUCGUACCCCAAACCGACACAGGUGGUCGGGUAGAGAAUACCAAGGCGCUUGAGAGAACUCGGGUGAAGGAACUAGGCAAAAUAGAACCGUAACUUCGGGAGAAGGUUCGCUCUUGACAGUGAAGUCCCUUGCGGAUGGAGCAGUUGGGAGUCGCAGUGACCAGAUGGCUGGGACUGUUUAUCAAAAACACAGCACUCUGCAAACACGAAAGUGGACGUAUAGGGUGUGACACCUGCCCGGUGCCGGAAGGUUAAUUGAUGGGGUUAGCGCAAGCGAAGCUCUUGAUCGAAGCCCCGGUAAACGGCGGCCGUAACUAUAACGGUCCUAAGGUAGCGAAAUUCCUUGUCGGGUAAGUUCCGACCUGCACGAAUGGUGUAACCAUGGCCAUGCUGUCUCCACCCGAGACUCAGUGAAAUCGAAUUCGCCGUGAAGAUGCGGUGUACCCGCGGCUAGACGGAAAGACCCCGUGAACCUUUACUACAGCUUGGCACUGAACAUUGAACCUACAUGUGUAGGAUAGGUGGGAGGCUUUGAAGGCGUGACGCCAGUUGCGCUGGAGCCGUCCUUGAAAUACCACCCUUGUAUGUUUGAUGUU
rnacentral:rRNA from 1 species